rnacentral:lncRNA from 1 species
CAUCAAUCUAUAAUAAUUACUUACCACAUUGGCCUUGAUCCUUUAUAUGAGUGACAGCUCCUUUCUCCCUCCAGUCGAUGCUAGUCGGAACAUCAGUCACGUUUUGGUACUUGAAGGUGGAUGGCCGUGAUGACUGGCGGCUUACGCUUGGUACUGGCCUGUUGUAUCCUGUAUAUAAAGCACGAAACUCCUCGUUAGUUAAGUCUGAAAAUUCAUUGGUGCCCAACUUGUACGUCCGAUUCCCCUCCUUGUUGGCUUUCUCAAUGUAUUCAAGGUUUUGCUUGAAUAUAUUAAGACGCAUUGCCUUCUCUAGCUCGUCCUUGUAAGUGCGUCCAUGCUGAGCCAUCCAUUGUUCGUGUUUCUCAACGAUGGACGGUUCAUGCAUCGACCGGCCGGACACCACUUGUGAUGCACAAGUGAUCACCAAAAUGAUGAUCACAAACAGUUUGUAUGCUUGAAUGAUAGAGCAAUAGGUUUCAUAGUGGGAUCAGCGGUGUCACAUAAUCUAAUAGGAGAAAUUCUAGAAUUUCUUAUCUAAUAGAUAUAGGAUUCACAAAAUUUACCUUUAGUGGUUAUAAAACUUUGGAAUAUGAAUAAAAUAAAACAAUUUGUAUGUUAAUUUUAUGUGUGAGAUUUAUGGGCAUAAAUAAUAAAAUAAAAUAAACGUUGACAAUGGCAUAAACAUAUAGUAAUAUAAAACCUCUCAUUUUUUUAAGUGAACCUCCGCAAAAUAUUUAUUAACGGUACUUGUAUAAACAUUAUCAAAACUGAUGUAAAAAAUCUACUCUAAUGUCACAAGCUUUUAUUGAUUGAGUUGCAAAAUAUACAUCAACCUAAAUUGAGUGGUAUGCGUAACUAUAAAUUUUCUCUUUGGUUCUAAUAACUAAAAUCUUUUGUGGUUACCAUGAAAUAUAACUUAAUUUGAGCCAUUUGUGUACUAAAAAAUUUCUCUUUUGAUCUUGUAGCGAAACUCAUCUCCGUCAUUAUACCAUUCACUAAAUUCAGAGUGAUGAAUAUGAGAAGAAUAAAUGCUCAAAAGAAAAUGAAGUUGUUGCUCAUCGAGGAUAUGUAUGUUAUUUUUUUUUUUUUUGGUGCAUUAAACCAUCUAGUAUUCAAAGACCACAUUGGACUCCGACUAAUUUAAAUUCGAGUCAGGCAAGACCACUAGGCCGGGAAAGCUCUCCCAACAAGUAUUUAACACAGCUGCAUCCACAAGAUCGAACCAACGAUCUUGAUUAAGUUAGAACAAUCUCAUACCAGCUGAUCUACACGCUUGUUGGUUAUUUUACUUCAUUCAUAUUCUCAAAAUAGUACUUAAGCUUCACGGUUAAUAUCUGCUGGGAGGAGUGUGAAUGUAUUUUAAAACAUGAGCUGGUUCCAAUUAAUUGCUCCAAAUUAACAAUUGGAGCCGGCUUUUUUCACAAUUUUCUCCUAAAAUACUUUUAUUUAAAAAAACCUUUCAAUUUAUCAAUAAGAAUUUGAUAAAUAAAUAAUAUAAUUAAUUUAUUACUUAAAUUGUAAUAAAGUAACUGCGGCGAAGAUGAAAAUUAUAUUUAAACAAGAGAUUUAACAUUAAUUAUAGAAGAUACCAAGUAUACUGGCAUUAAUUCCAUUACAAACAUUAAGAAAUAUAGAAAAUUAACCACACAAUAGAUAAAUAUCAGCUUUCAGUGGCUAGCUAAUACAUCCGUGGGUUAAUUUGAAGUUGAUGAAGAUAUCAUCAAUACUCCAAAACUAAUUAAGACUCCAACAAGAUUAAAUUAUUUCCACAUGUAGGAUAGCACAACCUCAUUGAUACUGCUAUGAAGAGGAGGCUAAUAAAAUUAUAGUAGUCAUAUUGCAACUGGAUAGGAAGCCGCAGUGGCAAUGCCACAGAGACCUGCAUCUCUGAGAAUCCUUAUGUAGCCGGACUCACCCCAAGUCUCCCCCCACGAAUUCUUAAUUAACCAGUAUUUGGCUCCAUUUUCUUCUUCAGCAGUUCCAAACCCAACAACAGCGACACCAUGAUCACAGUUAUUCCCACAGUCUGCAUUAAGCACACCGCUUUUGUAAAAAUGGAAGGCUCGUCCGCUCGCGUCAACACAAACUGAUACUGGCUGAUUGCUUACGGCCUGGAGUAAGGCUUGCUCGUCACCUUUCGGUAAAUCUUCAUAUUUACUGAUUGUAGCAGCAACUGCUUUCUCUUUCUGAUUGUCACAGGUUCCUUCUUCGUGCCGGUACGGAUAGUCCGCUUCUGUGGCAAGGCCCUUAUUUUCUAUAAUAUACUCAAAGGCCUUAUCCAUAAGACCCCCACUGCAUCCAUGGUUGUCUGUUGAGCAGUCUACCAACUGCUGCUCCGAAAGUUCAAUAAGUUUUCCCCUAGUAAUCUGAGUGAUCCCUUCCACCGCCGCCACAGCUGAAAAUGCCCAACAGGAUCCUGCAGAAUAAUAUUGCAUGUUACGUUAGACGACGAAUAAUAAUAUUAUAUAAUAUUCUAGGUUAAUUUGUUGUACAUGAUGUGACAGCUACAAACAAUCUGCAGCAUCACUUCAUCAAUAUAUAUAUAAUUAAUUAAUUACCACAAUGGCCUUGGUUCUUUAUAUGAGUGACAGCUCCUUUCUCCCUCCAGUCGAUGCUAGUCGGAACAUCAGUCACGUUUUGGUACUUGAAGGUGGAUGGCCGUGAUGACUGGCGGCUCACGCUUGGUACUGGCCUGUUGUAUCCUGUAUAUAAAGCACGAAACUCCUCGUUAGUUAAGUCUGAAAAUUCAUUGGUGCCCAACUUGUACGUCCG